rnacentral:rRNA from 1 species
GAUGAACGCUGGCGGCGUGCCUAAUACAUGCAAGUCGAGCGAACAGACGAGGAGCUUGCUUCUCUGACGUUAGCGGCGGACGGGUGAGUAACACGUGGAUAACCUACCUAUAAGACUGGGAUAACUUCGGGAAACCGGAGCUAAUACCGGAUAAUAUAUUGAACCGCAUGGUUCAAUAGUGAAAGACGGUUUUGCUGUCACUUAUAGAUGGAUCCGCGCCGCAUUAGCUAGUUGGUAAGGUAACGGCUUACCAAGGCAACGAUGCGUAGCCGACCUGAGAGGGUGAUCGGCCACACUGGAACUGAGACACGGUCCAGACUCCUACGGGAGGCAGCAGUAGGGAAUCUUCCGCAAUGGGCGAAAGCCUGACGGAGCAACGCCGCGUGAGUGAUGAAGGUCUUCGGAUCGUAAAACUCUGUUAUUAGGGAAGAACAAAUGUGUAAGUAACUAUGCACGUCUUGACGGUACCUAAUCAGAAAGCCACGGCUAAUUACGUG